UAGGGAAUCUUCGGCAAUGGACGAAAGUCUGACCGAGCAACGCCGCGUGAGUGAAGAAGGUUUUAGGAUCGUAAAACUCUGUUGUUAGAGAAGAACAAGGACGUUAGUAACUGAACGUCCCCUGACGGUAUCUAACCAGAAAGCCACGGCUAACUACGUGCCAGCAGCCGCGGUAAUACGUAGGUGGCAAGCGUUGUCCGGAUUUAUUGGGCGUAAAGCGAGCGCAGGCGGUUUCUUAAGUCUGAUGUGAAAGCCCCCGGCUCAACCGGGGAGGGUCAUUGGAAACUGGGGGACUUGAGUGCAGAAGAGGAGAGUGGAAUUCCAUGUGUAGCGGUGAAAUGCGUAGAUAUAUGGAGGAACACCAGUGGCGAAGGCGGCUCUCUGGUCUGUAACUGACGCUGAGGCUCGAAAGCGUGGGGAGCAAACAGG
rnacentral:rRNA from 1 species